rnacentral:rRNA from 1 species
UACAGAGGGUGCAAGCGUUGUCCGGAAUCAUUGGGCGUAAAGAGCGUGUAGGCGGCCAGGCAAGUUGGGUGUGAAAGCCCUCGCUUAACCGAGGAAGUGCGCCCAAAACUACUUGGCUUGAGUACCGGAGAGGAUGGUGGAAUUCCCGGUGUAGAGGUGAAAUUCGUAGAUAUCGGGAGGAACACCAGCGGCGAAGGCGACCAUCUGGACGGAUACUGACGCUGAGACGCGAAGCG